CAGUCGCCGCGGUAAUACGUAGGGUGCAAGCGUUAAUCGGAAUUACUGGGCGUAAAGCGUGCGCAGGCGGUUCGCUAAGACAGAUGUGAAAUCCCCGGGCUUAACCUGGGAACUGCAUUUGUGACUGGCGGGCUAGAGUAUGGCAGAGGGGGGUAGAAUUCCACGUGUAGCAGUGAAAUGCGUAGAGAUGUGGAGGAAUACCGAUGGCGAAGGCAGCCCCCUGGGCCAAUACUGACGCUCAUGCACGAAAGCGUGGGGAGCAAACAGGAUUAGAUACCCGGGUAGUCCCUGUCUCUUAUAA
rnacentral:rRNA from 1 species